rnacentral:rRNA from 1 species
AUUGAACGCUGGCGGCAGGCCUAACACAUGCAAGUCGAGCGAAGCGGCGGAUGGGAGAGUAACGCGUGGGUAACCUGACCUUAAGUCUGGGAAACCAUUUGGAAACAGUAGCUAAUACCGGAUAAUAAAGGAUGGAACUGCGAUGCAUUAGCUAGUUGGUCAGGUAACGGCUUACAAAGGCGAUGAUGCAUAGCCGAGUUGAGAGACUGAUCGGCCACAUUGGGACUGAGACACGGCCCAAACUCCUACGGGAGGCAGCAGUAGGGAAUCUUCCACAAUGGACGAAAGUCGGAUGGAGCAACGCCGCGUGAGUGAAGAAGGUUUUCGGAUCGUAAAGCUCUGUUGUUGGUGAAGCGGUAAUCAACCAGAAAGUCACGGCUAACUACGUGCCAGCAGCCGCGGUAAUUC